rnacentral:rRNA from 1 species
UAACCGGGUGAGAAACUAGCAUAUCAAUAAGCGGARSRRRAGARACUAACAAGGAUUCCCCUAGUAACUGCGAGUGAAGCGGGAAAAGCUCAAAUUUAAAAUCUGGUAGCGUCUCGCUGCCCGAGUUGUAAUCUAGAGAAGUAAUGCCCGCGCUGGACCGUGUACAAGUCUCCUGGAAUGGAGCGUCAUAGAGGGUGAGAAUCCCGUCUCUGACACGGACUACCAGGGCUUUGUGGUAUGCUCUCAAAGAGUCGAGUUGUUUGGGAAUGCAGCUCAAAAUGGGUGGUAAAUUCCAUCUAAAGCUAAAUAUUGGCGAGAGACCGAUAGCGAACAAGUACCGUGAGGGAAAGAUGAAAAGAACUUUGGAAAGAGAGUUAAACAGUACGUGAAAUUGCUGAAAGGGAAACGCUUGAAGUCAGUCGCGUUGGCCAGGGAUCAGCCUCGCUUUUUGCGUGGUGUACUUCCUGGCUGAUGGGUCAGCAUCAAUUUCGAUUGCUGGAAAAAGGCUUGGGGAAUGUAGCAGCUUCGGCUGUGUUAUAGCCUCUUGUUGCAUACAGCAGUUGGGAUUGAGGAACUCAGCACGCCGCAAGGCCGGGUUUCGACCACGUUCGUGCUUAGGAUGCUGGCAUAAUGGCUUUAAGCGACCCGUCUUGAAACACGGACCAAGGAGUCUAACAUGCCUGCGAGUGUUUGGGUGGUAAACCCGAGCGCGUAAUGAAAGUAAAAGUUGAGAUCCCUGUCGCGGGGAGCAUCGACGCCCGGACCAGAACUUUUGGGACGGAUCCGCGGUAGAGCAUGUAUGUUGGGACCCGAAAGAUGGUGAACUAUGCCUGAAUAGGGUGAAGCCAGAGGAAACUCUGGUGGAGGCUCGUAGCGAUUCUGACGUGCAAAUCGAUCGUCAAAUUUGGGUAUAGGGGCGAAAGACUAAUCGAACCAUCYAGUMSYURGUUCCUGCCGAGUCUCUCUUCCAUCAGGAA